AGCGAACGCUGGCGGCAAGCUUAACACAUGCAAGUCGAACGAUGUAGCAAUACAUAGUGGCGGACGGGUGCAUAACACGUGGGAAUCUGCCUUUAGGUACGGAAUAACUCAGGGAAACUUGAGCUAAUACCGUAUAAAAUCUCCGGAUCAAAGAUUUAUCGCCUAAAGAUGAGCCCGCGUCAGAUUAGCUAGUUGGUGAGGUAACGGCCUACCAAGGCGACGAUCUGUAGCUGGUCUUAGAGGAUGAUCAGCCACACUGGGACUGAGACACGGCCCAGACUCCUACGGGAAGCAGCAGUGGGGAAUAUUGGACAGUGGGGGAAACCCUGAUCCAGCUAAGCCGCGUGAGUGAUGAAGGCAUUAGGGUUGUAAAGCUCUUUUAGAUGGGAAGAUAAUGACGGUACCAUCAGAAAAAGCCCCGGCUAACUUCGUGCCAGCCGCCGCCGUAA
rnacentral:rRNA from 1 species